rnacentral:rRNA from 1 species
AGAACGAACGCUGGCGGCAGGCUUAACACAUGCAAGUCGAACGCUCGUAGCAAUACGGGAGUGGCAGACGGGUGAGUAACGCGUGGGAACAUACCCUCCGGUUCGGAAUAGCUCAGGGAAACUUGGAUUAAAUACCGGAUACGGCUGAGAGGCGAAAGAUUUAUCGCCGGAGGAUUGGCCCGCGUUCGAUUAGCUUGUUGGUGAGGUAACGGCUCACCAAGGCGACGAUCCGUAGCUGGUCUGAGAGGACGAUCAGCCACACUGGGACUGAGACACGGCCCAGACUCCUACGGGAGGCAGCAGUGGGGAAUCUUGCGCAAUGGGCGAAAGCCUGACGCAGCGACGCCGCGUGGGGGAAGAAGGCUUUCGGGUUGUAAACCCCUUUCAGGAAGGACGAAGCCACUCGGGUUAAUAGCCCAGAGGGUGACGGUACUUCCAGAAGAAGCCCCGGCUAACUACGUGCCAGCAGCCGC